rnacentral:rRNA from 1 species
UACGUAGGUGGCAAGCGUUGUCCGGAAUUAUUGGGCGUAAAGCGCGCGCAGGUGGUUCCUUAAGUCUGAUGUGAAAGCCCACGGCUCAACCGUGGAGGGUCAUUGGAAACUGGGGAACUUGAGUGCAGGAGAGAAGAGUGGAAUUCCACGUGUAGCGGUGAAAUGCGUAGAGAUGUGGAGGAACACCAGUGGCGAAGGCGACUCUUUGGUCUGUAACUGACGCUGAGGCGCGAAAGCGUGGGGAGCAAACAGG